UUCAAUUGGGCGAUGCUUUUAAUAAUAUUAUUCUGGCUCAGUUUCGCUGCCAUUGGAUCAGACAUGCAUGCGCGUAGAAAUUAUUUAAUUAUUUCGCGAGUAUAAAAUGCGUGGCGCCCAUUUUGAGCUCCACUCGAUCGCGUCCUUUGACCACUUCACACCGCAUCGGCACCUCAGAGCAAACUUGUCCCAACAUGCCACCGAAGGAAACCGACAUUCUGCAAAAGAAAAUGGAUACGGCCAGCUUCAAAAUCACCAUCACCUGGCUGCUGCAAUUAUCGCUCCUUGUCCUUAUGAUCGGGCUCAGCUUCUCUUUCUUUGGGGCGACGCCAGAUUCCUUUCAAAAACUUCAAUCGGCGACGUCUGUGCAGCGCCAGUUUGAUCAAUUUGGGAACAACAGCCGCAAAUUUCUUGAGAAACAAGCUCGGAACUCCACUGCUAUGAACAAUCAGCUGAAAAAAAUAUCCCGUUCGCAGAUGAUGGAACUGACAAGCGAGGCCUUCCUUGAUAUGCUGCACUUGAUCAAAUGGGUCGCCGUCGCUUCAGUGCUCAACCUAUUUUUUCUGGCAAUUCUUUCCUUAGCCCUGUCAACAAGGCAGAUUAGGGAAUUAUUAACCAAAAAAAUCCGUCGUGAAUCCGAUGAAUUUAACGAGACAUUAUUAUAAAGAGCUCAUUGAAUGAAAAUGAUCGUAGUAGUUGUUGCCCUGCCCGACCUCUGGAGCAGGAUAGAAAAUUUUUGAUCUUUGUUAGCUAGAAAGAAGAAUAAUCACGCAAAACUCGAGGAAGAAGAAAAUCAAAUGA